UACAGAGGGGGCAAGCGUUGUUCGGAAUUACUGGGCGUAAAGGGCGCGUAGGCGCCUUCUAAGUCGAACGUGAAAUCCCCGGGCUCAACCCGGGAACUGCGUCCGAUACUGGAAGGCUUGAAUCCGGGAGAGGGAUGUGGAAUUCCAGGUGUAGCGGUGAAAUGCGUAGAUAUCUGGAGGAACACCGGUGGCGAAGGCGACAUCCUGGACCGGUAUUGACGCUGAGGCGCGAAAGCCAGGGGAGCAAAGCGGG
rnacentral:rRNA from 1 species